rnacentral:rRNA from 1 species
AUUGAACGCUGGCGGCAUGCCUUACACAUGCAAGUCGAACGGCAGCACGGGAGCAAUCCUGGUGGCGAGUGGCGAACGGUGAAUAAUGUAUCAGAACGUACCUUCAGUGGGGGAUAACGUAGCGAAAGUUACGCUAAUACCGCAUAUUCUGUGAGCAGGAAAGCAGGGGAUCGCAAGACCUUGCGCUGAUUGAGCGGCCGAUAUCAGAUUAGCUAGUUGGUGAGGUAAAGGCUCACCAAGGCGACGAUCUGUAGCGGGUCUGAGAGGAUGAUCCGCCACACUGGAACUGAGACACGGUCCAGACUCCUACGGGAGGCAGCAGUGGGGAAUUUUGGACAAUGGGCGCAAGCCUGAUCCAGCCAUGCCGCGUGAGUGAAGAAGGCCUUCGGGUUGUAAAGCUCUUUCAGCCGGGAAGAAAACGCAUGGGUUAAUACCCUGUGUGGAUGACGGUACCGGAAUAAGAAGCACCGGCUAACUACGUG